rnacentral:antisense_RNA from 1 species
CUUUAUGGGUGGCUCGUGUGGGGAGCCUUCGGGCUCGCCGGUCCUUACUCCGGUACGCCAACCUGCACGAGUCCGCCCACCCGA